rnacentral:rRNA from 1 species
GACGAACGCUGGCGGCGUGCUUAACACAUGCGAGUCGAACGGACAGGCCCUGCUUUUGUGGGGUGCUCGAGUGGCGAACGGGUGAGUAACACGUGAGUAACCUGCCCUUGACUUUGGGAUAACUUCAGGAAACUGGGGCUAAUACCCGAUAGGAGCUCCUGCUGCAUGGUGGGGGUUGGAAAGUUUCGGCGGUUGGGGAUAGACUAGCGGCUUAUCAGCUUGUUGGUGGGGUAGUGGCUGACCAAGGCUUUGACGGGUAGCCGGCCUGAGAGGGUGACCGGCGACAUGGGGACUGCGAGACGGCGCAGACGCGUAUGGGAGGCAGCAGGGGGGAAUAUUGCGCAAUGGGGGGAAGCGUGAUGAAGCAACGCCGCGUGCGGGAUGACGGGCUUCGGGUUGUAAACCGCUUUCUCCUGUGACGAAGCGGGAGUGACGGUAAUGGGUAAAGAAGCACCGGCUAACUACGUG